GGGGGGCGCGGUUACAAACACAGAGGCUUGUGAGAAACAGCAGGGUGUCCGGAUCAAAUGCAUUGUGUAGGAGCACUAACAGCUAAAGACCCCCUGCUCUGGAUCAAGACGUCUGACCUACAUCAGAAAGCUCAUCCACCAGGAUAGAGAGAGGAAUCUAGACAUGUUGCCAGCCCUCCAAAGAUGUCCUUGACGUAGGAGUAGUCUCCUCCCGACUUGGGGAUGGUGACGCCCAGCUCAGCGUAGCACAGCGCCCCGAUGGCAGUGAUGAUGCCAGUGA